CUUACUUCUCCAAGUGACUAAAUUGUCAUCAACAAAGGUGCAAUAACCUGAUGUCGAUCUUCUAUUAUCGAGAGCUCCAGCCCAAUCUGCAUUUGUAAAGACUUUUAUCUGGAGAUGGCCAUGCUUUGAAAAAUGAAGUCUCUUUCUAGGUGCAGAUUUUAAAUAGCUCAAAAUACUGAAGACAACUUCUAAGUGAGGUUGU
rnacentral:misc_RNA from 1 species